GUCCGGAUGACGCCUGUGAAUUCGUCCCUCUCUCCAUUGGAGGAUCUUUAAACACCACAGAUGUUCAAAUCCCUCUCGUUCUCUCAAGGAAAGUUUGCUUUGGGUGUGCUUGGAUCUGAUCGUGGGCUCUCAAUAUGAUAACCUCUCAGUCUCGGGUGUUAUG